GCCGGGGUAGCUCAGUUGGUUAGAGCGUGGGACUCAUAAGCCCGAGGUCGUGGGUUCGAUUCCCACCUCCGGCACCA
rnacentral:tRNA from 1 species